rnacentral:hammerhead_ribozyme from 1 species
AUCUAGCUGACGAGUCCUAAAUAGGACGAAACGUGGGUCAAACUCGAU